rnacentral:rRNA from 1 species
GACGAACGCUGGCGGCGUGCUUAACACAUGCAAGUCGAACGGAAAGGCCCUGCUUUUGUGGGGUGCUCGAGUGGCGAACGGGUGAGUAACACGUGAGUAACCUGCCCUUGACUUUGGGAUAACUUCAGGAAACUGGGGCUAAUACCGGAUAGGAGCUCCUGCUGCAUGGUGGGGGUUGGAAAGUUUCGGCGGUUGGGGAUGGACUCGCGGCUUAUCAGCUUGUUGGUGGGGUAGUGGCUUACCAAGGCUUUGACGGGUAGCCGGCCUGAGAGGGUGACCGGCCACAUUGGGACUGAGAUACGGACCAGACUCCUACGGGAGGCAGCAGUGGGGAAUAUUGCACAACGGGCGGAAGCCUGAUGCAGCAACGCCGCGUGCGGGAUGACGGCCUUCGGGUUGUAAACCGCUUUCGCCUGUGACGAAGCGUGAGUGACGGUAAUGGGUAAAGAAGCACCGGCUAACUACGUG